ACUGCCAUCUAUGGUUCAAACAACAAAUGACUCAUGGGUCCCAUCGUAAAGCUACUUGGAAUACAAUUAUACAGCGUCAGUCAAUCUGCUCAGUGCUCACACUCGUGUCUGUCCAUUCUUUCGUGCUUGAAGUUGUGGAAAGACGCCGUAGUCGGGGUAACCUGCUCGUUCUUCGGUUAAUGUUUGUUGUGGCUGUGUGGGUAUUGCUGAAUACUGGAAUGUGGUGAUCGUCUCAUGCUUCCCGUCUUUGGAUGAAGUAGACUAAUUAUCGUUGCCGUGGCUAGUUGGUAACUAUUUUUUUCCUCGAAAUAAGAAGGUCUGGUGUGAACAGCAGAAACUAAUAAUUUUUGAAAGCCUUACCACAUGAUGGGUAGCUGUACCUAGUACCCUAAAGAUGCAACUUCCGUGGCACUUUUGAGAGCAACGUUGCUUGGCAGUGCUGAGAGCUAUGAAUGUUGAAGAUUCGAAGAUUUUGUUCCUGGUUUCACUCUUGAUUGGAAUUAAACGCUAAGCUGUACCGUCCAGUAAGUUAUUUUCUUGUGUAACCUAAUAGCAAUAAUGUGAUGGAAUGUUUAACAGGUGUAAUUGUAUACUUAAUAAAAAUGCAUACGAAUCUUGUAGACCUGUACUUGUACCAUACUCUUACCAUUUCUAUCAAAACCUUUUAUCCAAUUGGAUAUAGCUGCUUUUGUUUUUAACCUUCACUUGGUAGUAAAUAUAUUGAUUGAAUGCAAUGCAUGAAGCUUUUUUAAGUUUGAAUACUUUUAAACUA